rnacentral:misc_RNA from 1 species
UACGGAGGGUGCAAGCGUUAAUCGGAAUUACUGGGCGUAAAGCGCGCGUAGGCGGCUUGUUAAGCGAGAUGUGAAAGCCCCGGGCUCAACCUGGGAACUGCAUUUCGAACUGGCGGGCUAGAGUGUAGAAGAGGGGUGUGGAAUUUCCGGUGUAGCGGUGAAAUGCGUAGAGAUCGGAAGGAACACCAGUGGCGAAGGCGACACCCUGGUCUAACACUGACGCUGAGGUGCGAAAGCGUGGGGAGCAAACAGG